CUAUCAUGAUGUUUUUCUCACUAUUGUUCAUACCAAGAUCUGAAUUUCUUGUGGCCUGUGGAGUGGAAUUCGUUGCUGCAGAUUUGAUUUUUGGGGAUUGAUUAGGGAAAAUUAGAGUCGAACGGGUCGAGAUGCAAUCCAAACUGACCCAAACACAAGAACUUGAACCAGAAAUGUCUAAUCUAGCCUUAGGCACUUAGCUCUUCCAUGGUUGCCAUCGAAGGUCAAAAAAGGAUCUCAAGUGCCAGCGCCGCCCCAGGUGCCUCACUGCCCUCUGUAAUUGCUCGAAAACCCGAGACUUCUACUGGUAGGAACAGCACUGCAUCCUACCUCAGUUGUGCACAAAUUGAUGUCUCCAUCUUCGAUAAUCGAAAGCCAAUGCAGCUCAGCCACUACGAGGACCUGCAACUCUUCUGCCUCCUGGUAUCUGUGACUACCUCAGCCACUUGCCAAGGUAGCUAGGAGACUAAAGAUGAAGAAUCUGCUCAACCUUUAAUUUUGAAUCUUGUUAGGUGAUAUGAGCAAUGACACUUGAGUUUUCAAUUUUUCAUCGAUCUUGUACCCCUAUGAAUCUUAGUCUGGUUGUGGUUGGGGUAGGUUGGUUUUCCGAGCUCAUAUCCAUGACCAGGAAAAAAAAAAAACAAACCGAGGUCAAUUUGUGAAUAUAAAAAAUAGAGAUGGGUCAAUUUUGAAUUAUUUUGACAAUUCCAUCUAAUGGAGCUCUUCUUUAAAGCUCCAUUGAAUAGUUUGCCUACAUUCUGCGCAUCAACUGCCACCCUCUAUGUUACUGUACCUCCUUUCUGCAAAAGGUCUAAAAGUCAAAAGAGACUAAUGCCACGUGAUAGUCUUGACACAUACUAUUGUCUUAACCCACUUGCGCUGGUUCUUCUUGCUUUGAAUCUGACCUACCACUCAUCUUCAUCAUUCCGCGAAGUCGCUCCUCCUCUCCCCCAACCCGUUUCGUGGCUGGAUCGAAACCGGUCGUGGAGCACGGAUCCUUGUCGUAGCCGCGCUGAAGAGGCCGAUUCUGGCCCGCCACUAUCCUCAACUUCAAAACGAUCUGCUUGUUCGGUCAUUCUCCACCGCAGAACCACAUGCUCGCCCUUUGCCAUCAUCGCUGCUAGUCGGAGCUCGGAGCGGUUGGUUGCGUCGACGAUCUGACGGGUUUCGCGUGCUUCUAUAUGAAAACUGUCCAAACUUGCAUCUUGCAUUGAGUUACCAUUUUCUGCGAUGCUUGGAGAGUUUCCAGCCUGUUCUCAGUCUCACGCUGUGUUGGUUGAUUCGUUGCCUCCUUUGCUGCCAGAAUGCCUCCCUUUGCAGGAUUGUUCUAAUCUCAUGUGGUUGGCUAUAGCAGCAAGUCUGAUUCUAAAGGAAGGCACGCACAUUAGCUCUUAGACCAUUUCAUAAAUGAGUCCUCCAGUAGGAGAAACCUCAAUUGCUGGAUCUGCUCUUCUUACUAUAAAGCGGUGUUAUGAUCAUAGAUCUUUAUCGGGGGUAGUGGAUUGAUCUCUCUCUCUCUCUCUGCUUAAGUCAGGUCCAUUCUCUCUUUCCCUCUCUUUCUAUCUUCCAAUGAUUGUUAAAUUUUAUUAGUUUUAGAAAAAUACUACUUACAUUUAAAAUUCAGCUUUUGUUCAACUUUUUAAUUUAAUAAUAUUAUUUAAUUAUUUUUUUAAUUAAGUCACUUUACUAUUUUUUAGGUGAAUAUAUUGUUAAGUUAAAAGAUACUUAGUUGCAUCGAUAAAAAUAUACUAUAUGAUAAAAACUCAGGUAAUAUAUGUUUAAUAAUUUUUCCUCGUGGUCACUUAGUUAAUUCUGUGUCCUCGUGUGUAUAAAACUAUAAAUCGAUAUAGUUACACCAAUAGUAAUUUACUUGUACAAUUUGGAUAUAACAAAAUUCAUGUUCUUUUUGCUGUAUAUUCUGAUCUUGGUAAUUAAGAUCUCUAAUAUGGUGUCAGUCUGAAAUUAUAUUUUUUAACAGUGUUGCAAACACUCUUGAAUAGUUGAAACAAUAUAUAAUUAAGGAACUAAAUAAGAUGUGAGCAUUAUAAUGUAAAUCUAAAUAAUUAAGCACAAAUUUACUAUUAAUAAAAAAAUCAAAAUAAAAGAUUUUUUUUGCAAGUAAUAAACAAUAGAACUCAAUUAAAUUAUCCAAUGAGUAAAUAUUAUGCACCUCCACAUUAUCUCCGAUAAUAAUAUUUUUAAGUGGGAUAAGAGUAGGAACAUGGCGAAUCAUUUGAAACUCGCCAUGAACGUUGAUAUCAUGCCAAGGAGUCCCAAAAAUCCAAAAUUCUUGAUUUUCACGAUCAUGGUAGGCAAUGCAACUCGGUAAUUGAGAUGUGGUUAUGGAAUACUCGAAAAUGGGAGUCCAAGAUUCUCCAACUCCAUAUCUUUCCAUCAUCCACAUUGAUACAAGCAACUCAUUAAAAUACAUGAAGCAAAAAGAACCCCUGAAAUCUGCCAUGGUUUCUCUACCUUGACCCCUGGGCGUGUUAGAGAAGAAUUGAAACUGCUCGGUGUCAAAAUUGAAAGUCCAUAUUGAGGCAUUUCUAUCACCAUCUCUACCAAUCCAAUGAAGUGCCCCAUUAAAAUAAUAAGGAAGUUCGGACACAUAUCUCAAAUGCUUGGGAUAAUCUACCUCAAUAUUUAUCCAUGUCGACGUUCCAACUGUGUGCAUUUGAACAACUAUUCGAUGAUCAUGUUUAAAGAUAUGGAUUCUCAUUACCUUGUAUUGGUUUGUUUUUGGGUGAAAACCAAAACGCCAAGAUAUUUGCUCGCAGGGUGUCAAGAUUGGAGGGUGUUUUGGAAGUCUUAUGAACUCACCUGUUAUUGGGUUGCAAACAAAUGAAAUGUCUCUAUCUAUUGACCACCUCAUGUGAAAAAGACCAUUACAAGAAUGCACGUUAACAUAAACUCUUUUACUCUGGAAUGAUUUGGGAAUAGGAAGAGGAAUCUCAAAUUUAGGAUGAAGUUUUAUGCUGCUACUAUUAUUGGGUUCCAGGACCUCAAACAAACUGAGACAGAAUGGAUUGUUUUCUCCAUUUAAUUCGAUCAUAUUCAACAAGAUGAAAGAUUCUUGAAUGGCAGUGUCGGAUCAUGGUAGCAGGAGUUGUAUAAGUAAAGAGUAACUUGGCAAAAUUUGGAUCAGAAAUCAAUGUAUUCCAAUACUUACAAACACAUCUACAAAUGAUAACAGAUUUCAUAGGAAGUCUAACAAAGAUGUCGGUAAUUAUAUCGACUGGAAGACUGGCGAAAUAAGAAUUUCGUAUUUGGGAUUUCCUGGCAAUCAAGUACAAAAUAAUUCAGAAAAAGAGAAAGAAGAAAUUUACGAUAUUGUUUUGUGUUACUUCAUGGAAAAACAAAAUAUAGCUUACCUCACCCAGCAUGCAAAAAAGCAUUGGAAGAGAGAUUUGAUCAUUUUCUCCAUCACUCUCACAUAGCAGCAAUGAUUGUUGGGAGAAGGCAGGCACCCGGUGAUUGAAGCAAGUGAAGUGAAGUUGAAGCUUUCAAGGGGAGUUUACUGAUUUUUAUAACAACCAUGCUAGCUGAAUGAGAAAAUCAGUUACGAAUUACGAAUAUAAUUUGUAAAGAAACUUUUAAAUAAACUUU